UACGUAGGGACCGAGCGUUGUCCGGAAUCCUUGGGCGUAAAGAGCGUGUAGGCGGCCCCUUAAGUCCUGCGUGAAAUCCUGCGGCUCAACCGCAGACGGUCGUGGGAAACUGGAGGGCUAGAGUGCGGGAGAGGAGAGUGGAAUUCCCGGUGUAGCGGUGAAAUGCGCAGAUAUCGGGAAGAACACCGGUGGCGAAGGCGGGUCUCUGGGCCAUUACUGACGCUGAGGAGCGAAAGCGUGGGGAGCGAACAGG
rnacentral:rRNA from 1 species